CGUGACAUCAUGUGACGUCAUCAAAAUACACGUGAAGAAGUUCCCCUCAUUGUUCUGAGUGUUUUGAUAUGUCACAUGUCCAUGUUGUAAAACGUUUUUUGAUUUUACAUAUUUUUACAUAUUCUGCGGCACAACCGGAAGGCCAGUCGGUACACCAAUGUAAAACUUUGUUCAGAGUAUCACCCUAAAGGAACUGGCCGAGUUUGGUGUAGAUAGUUCGAAAGCUUGCCAAGUUAUAAACCUCCAUAGUUUAUAAUGGGAGUCUAUGGGGAAAAAGGCCACUUUGAGACCCGGUACCGGAAGUACCGGUACUCGGAUCGCUUAUAAAGGUCAUAGCACACCUCUCCUCAAUGAGCCGGUUGAUUUGACACGUCAUUCACAGGUCUAGGACAAAAGCUGCGGGACAAGUUACGUGCCGAAGUUUUGUCCGGCACAAUAGUAAUAAUGUUGCUUUGCAAGCACCAUUAAUAACAAUAAUGGAAAGGAAGUAAAAAGAAAAAGAAGAAAACAAACCACCCAACACCCGCCCACCCCGGGUCCUGGCCCUUUUUAAUUAUUGAAUACAAGUCAUUUAAAAUUUACAAAAGAAAGAAAACUUAAUCUGGCAAAAACCUGAAGGCCUAUGAAAUAUGAAAUAAACGGUUGCCAUUUAUGAAAAUUCAAAAUUCAAAUUCAAAAAUUUAUGAAUUUUCUCAAGCUUAAUAACAACGCUGUAUCCUUUAGCCAUUGUGAGUGGGAAAGCCAGGAAAACAUUUCUGAACAAAAUGCCUAACUUGAAAACAUCUAAAGAGGUGGCUGGCAGGUAGCCCAAACAAUGAUGACAAAUUAGCAAAACUGUUAAAAAAAUAUAGUAUAAGACAAGAAAACAGUAUAUUCCUUUGCUAUAUCACACUGAGAAAAUAGAAUCCAGACACAAAGGGGAAAAAGAUGAUUGCUACGUAAUGGACCUAAAGGAGAAGCAGUUACAAACUUUAAGAACUUUUCCUAAAUUGAUACCAGGUUUUUAAAGUAUUAAAUACAACAGAAUUUUUAAUUUUUAGUUGGAAGAGAAGAGUAUAUAAGCUCGAGGUAUGACUGGUAAAGGCCAACCUGACACUACCAGCCAUUAUGAGGUUAACCUGGUGGCCUUUGACUCUAAGCCUUCUACUACUAAAUACACUCCUAACUAUUAUGCCAUUGAGCUCAUACAUGAAGGUGUGAAAUGAAUAUGCAUUGGGAGAAAGAACAUGACUGAGGAGUGUUGUUUUGACAAUUUCAGAGAUUAUUUUGUUCACCUGGACAUAAACUCUGACAGGUCCUAAUUCAACACUCUGGAUGUUCCUUCAACACUGGAGGAUGUUUUGUUGCUGUGUAGUUAUACUGUUAUUAACUCCCAUCUUUCUUUACUAGUGAAGGAGUUUCUAAACCUACAAAUCUCAUGAUCUACCUGUUCUACACUACAACACCUACAUAAGAGUUUUAGUGGUUGUUUAGCACAAAGCAGAACACAUUUUAUAGUUCCACAAUCACUCUGUGUGUCAUCUAGUUGAGGGUGAGGUCUGCUGUCUCAAAAUAUCUUUUGGGGAUUGGCAACAUUGUGAAAAGCAGUACUUUUAUUCCAGGUUUGACCACCUAGCUAGAGACGAUUUCACAGAAGGUAUGCAUUCUCUGAUUGAGUCUUGAGUCCUGGCUACAUCAGUCCUCCAACUUUAUGGGACUGCAAACAGUCCAUUCUUCUUCCCUCUGAAACCCCACAAGGCCCUUCUUUAAUUUCCAUUCAACUUUUUUUGGUGGAUUUUCAGUUCUCUGCAUUGAUUCUGUUGUUUAAUAUGCUUCUUUGUGCCAUCUGGCUACAGUUUCUGCUGUGUCAGUAUGCAGUCUACAUGAAUAGGCUUUCUGCUGUGCUGGAUUCAAGAAGUAGUUCUUCUUGCCUUUGCACUAACCCCCUAAAUGUGUGCUGUCUACAGUAUGUGUUCUGAGCUUGACAGGGAAAGCACUCUAAGGCUCAAAUCCCUGUUGAAAAUGUAGAUCAUAUACUACAGUAUGUUUGCACAAUAUAUGCUUCGUUAAUCAUUAUCACAACACUGGACUUUGCACUAUACUGUAGGUGUAAAUGUGUAUGUAUAUAUCAGUUCUGGAUACAGACUUUAGUGACUUAUUGUCUAUUUAUCGUCUUGUCUUAUCUAGGUCCAGUUUCUGUUUCAGACCCUGAUUCUGUCAGUUGUCUGACUUGUUUCAUCCUUGUGGGUUCAGACCUGAUGGGCUAGCCUUUACUCCACAUGUGCAUUAAUGAGCCUUGGACACCCAUGACCCAGUAAACUGUUUGUCCAUCUUUGCUAGGUAUUAACCACUGCAUACUGGGAACAUGGUGUUUUAGAGAUGCUGUGGCUUAGUCAUCUAACCAUCACCAUUUGGCCAUUGCCAAGUUGCUCAGAUCCUUAUGCUCAUCCAUUUUUCCUAAUUCUACACUCUAAAAAAUGAUUCAUGGGGUUAGUUUGUAAAACUUAAAAUAAAAACAUUUUCAGCAUAAAAAAAAGAAGUUUGUAAUAUGUACUUGUAUUGGUGAGUUGAUAACUCAUUUUAAUAAGUCUUUCAAAAUUAAAAUAAAGAAUACUGUCUUUAACUUAAUUAUAUAUCGAUUUUGAACAAACACUUUUACCUUCACGUAACAACAGAAAAAUAUUAAACUUGUUUUGCUGCCAGAGCGGGACAACUAGGAGCCGGAGAAACAGGAGAAUCGAGGCUAUAUUGGAUGAUUCUGUGGAAAGGAGGAGAGAGACUGCUAUACAUUCCUUAAUAGUAUAUCUUGGAGAAAAGGAGGAAGGUCUCUUUAAAGAGCACUUGCGCCAGUAUUAUUAUUGAGGGAUCGGAAGUCCUGCAAGACCUGGAGGUAUUCAGAGCCUGUGCCCUGCUAAUGGGGCUGAUGUAUGCUCUCAACCUCAGCUACAGUACACAAAGGACCUAAAAACAUACUUUUGAGGUGUUUCAGAAAAUAAUUCUUGAGCUGGAUGGUCUGAAAGCUAGCCCGAAGGUAAUGUCUUUAAACAAUAAACUGUUGUCUUCCUGAAAUGUUUCAUGUAAA